GACAGAGGUGCCGAGCGUUAGGCGGAAUCACUGGGCUUAAAGCGUGUGUAGGCGGCGGCGUAAGUCACUUGUGAAAUCCCACGGCUCAACCGUGGAACUGCUCGGGAUACUGCGUCGCUUGAGCCAGCUAGGGGCGACCGGAACAAACGGUGGAGCGGUGAAAUGCGUAGAUAUCGUGUGGAACGCCGAUGGUGAAAACAGGUCGCUGGGGCGGUGCUGACGCUGAGACACGAAAGCCAGGGGAGCGAACGGG
rnacentral:rRNA from 1 species